rnacentral:rRNA from 1 species
AUUGAACGCUGGCGGCAUGCCUUACACAUGCAAGUCGAACGGCAGCAUGGAAGAGCUUGCUCUUCUGAUGGCGAGUGGCGAACGGGUGAGUAAAGCAUCGGAACGUACCGUGUAGUGGGGGAUAACGUAGCGAAAGUUACGCUAAUACCGCAUACGCACUGAGGUGGAAAGCAGGGGAUCGCAAGACCUUGCGCUAUACGAGCGGCCGAUGUCAGAUUAGCUAGUUGGUAGGGUAAAGGCCUACCAAGGCGACGAUCUGUAGCGGGUCUGAGAGGAUGAUCCGCCACACUGGGACUGAGACACGGCCCAGACUCCUACGGGAGGCAGCAGUGGGGAAUUUUGGGACAAUGGGCGAAAGCCUGAUCCAGCCAUGCCGCGUGAGUGAAGAAGGCCU